GGAGCGAUGACCGAGUGGCCGAAGGUGGCUCCCUGCUAAGGAGUUAUACCCUAUCCGGGUAUCGGGGGUUCGAAUCCCCCUUGCUCCG
rfam:Treponema sp. CETP13 contig35, whole genome shotgun sequence.